UCCGUAGGUGAACCUGCGGAAGGAUCAUUAACUAUAUGAUCAGUGGCUGUAAUAACAGCUACUUUUCCUAUACUGUGAAACCUGGUGAUCAAGGAUUGUAAUGAUCUUUGUGAGCCAAUAUAAAUACACUUUGAAUUCAGAAUAAAAAAUUAUAAUAAAUAACAACUUUUAACAAUGGAUCUCUUGGUUCUCGCAUCGAUGAAGAACGUAGCAAAGUGCGAUAACUAGUGUGAAUUGCAUAUUCGUGAAUCAUCGAGUCUUUGAACGCAGCUUGCACUCUAUGGAUCUCCCAUAGAGUACGCCUGCUUCAGUACCAUGUAACCCCACACAUAUACUCUAUGUGGUUAUGGAUGUUUCGCUUGUGGUGAUCAUCUAAAAAUAAUGGCAAUUAUUGCAAUUGCCCGGGUCGCUAGAUCUUGUUUUUUGGUUCGCCAGAAAAUUAAGUAUUUAUUGACUCCUGCCAACCAGCAUUUUUUAACCGUGGUUUGAAGUCAGGUGGGACUACCCGCUGAACUUAAGCAUAUCAUGAAGCGGAGGA
rnacentral:rRNA from 1 species